UCUCCGUUGGUGAACAGCGGAGGGAUCAUUACAGAGUUGCAAAACUCCCAAACCAUUGUGAACGUUACCUAUCCCGUUGCUUCGGCGGGCGGCCCGGGCCCCGCGCCCGGCGCCCCCCGGCCCCCCGUGGGCGCCCGCCGGAGGUAAACCAAACCCUUGAAUUGCAUGGCCUCUCUGAGUCUUCUGUACUGAAUAAGUCAAAACUUUCAACAACGGAUCUCUUGGUUCUG
rnacentral:misc_RNA from 1 species